rnacentral:rRNA from 1 species
CGCUAGCUACAGGCUUAACACAUGCAAGUCGAGGGGUAGCAGGGUAGCAAUACCGCUGACGACCGGCGCACGGGUGAGUAACACGUAUUCAACCUUCCCAUAACUCGGGGAUAGCCUUUCGAAAGAAAGAUUAAUACCCGAUAGUACUUUUUUAGGGCAUCUUAGAAAAGUUAAAGAUUUAUUGGUUAUGGAUGGGGAUGCGUUCCAUUAGAUAGUUGGUGAGGUAACGGCUCACCAAGUCUUCGAUGGAUAGGGGUUCUGAGAGGAAGGUCCCCCACAUUGGUACUGAGACACGGACCAAACUCCUACGGGAGGCAGCAGUGAGGAAUAUUGGUCAAUGGGCGAGAGCCUGAACCAGCCAAGUAGCGUGAAGGAUGACGG